rnacentral:rRNA from 1 species
UACGAAGGGGGCUAGCGUUGCUCGGAAUCAGCUGGGCGUAAAGCGCACGUAGGCGGAUUUUAAGUCAGGGGUGAAAUCCUGGAGCUCAACUCCAGAACUGCCUUUGAUACUGGGGAUCUCGAGUCCGGGAGAGGUGAGUGGAACUCCGAGUGUAGAGGUGAAAUUCGUAGAUAUUCGGAAGAACACCAGUGGCGAAGGCGACUUACUGGACACUAUAUUGACGCUGAGGUGCGAAAGCGGUGGGGAGCAAACAGGG